rnacentral:rRNA from 1 species
GACGAACGCUGGCGGCGUGCCUAAUACAUGCAAGUCGAACGCAGUGGGGACGGGUGAGUAACACGUGGGUAACCUCCCCUCAGAGGGGAUAACACUUGGAAACAGGUGCUAAACCGAUACUGAUGGAUGCACCCGCGGUGCAUGAGCUAGUUGGUGAGGUAACGGCUCGCCAAGGCCACGAUGCAUAGCCGACCUGAGAGGUUGAUCGGCCACACUGGGACGGAGACACGGCAGAGACGCAUACGGGAGGCAGGAGUAGGGAGUCUUCGGCAAUGGACGAAAGUCUGACCGAGCAACGCCGCGUGAGUGAAGAAGGUUUUCGGAUCGUAAAACUCUGUUGUUAGGGAAGCGGUAACUACCCAGAAAGCCACGGCUAACUACGUGACAGCAGCCGCGGUAAUUC